AUUGCACGCUGGCGGCAGGCUUAACACAUGCAAGUCGAGCGAGCGGCGGACGGGUGAGUAAUGUCUGGGAAACUGCCUGAUGGAGGGGGAUAACUACUGGAAACGGUAGCUAAUACCGCAUACCAUCAGAUUUGCCCAGAUGGGAUUAGCUAGUAGGUGGGGAAAUGGCUAACCUAGGCGACGAUCCCUAGCUGGUCCGAGAGGAUGACCAGCAACGCGGGAACUGAGACACGGUCCAGACUCUUACGGGAGGCAGAAGGGGGGAAUAUGGCACAAUGUGCGCAAGCCUGAUGCAGCCAUGCCCCGUGUGUGAAGAAGGCCGUCGGGUUGUAAAGCACUUUCAGCGAGGAGGCGUUACUCGCAGAAGAAGCACCGGCUAACUCCAUGCCAGCAGCCGCGGUAAUAC
rnacentral:rRNA from 1 species